rnacentral:rRNA from 1 species
GAUGAACGCUAGCGGCAGGCUUAACACAUGCAAGUCGAGGGGCAGCGUGGGGCAGCAAUGCUCCGACGGCGACCGGCGGAAGGGUGCGUAACACGUGAGCGACUUGCCCGUCACAGGGGGGAUAACCGGCGGAAACGGCGACUAAUACCGCAUAACAUACGGAUGUCGCAUGGCAACCGUAUCAAAGAUUUUAUCGCUUGAAGAUGGACUCGCGUCCGAUUAGCCAGUUGGCGGGGUAACGGCCCACCAAAGCGACGAUCGGUAGCCGGACUGAGAGGUUGAACGGCCACAUUGGGACUGAGACACGGCCCAG